UACGUAGGGGGCAAGCGUUGUCCGGAAUUAUUGGGCGUAAAGAGCGUGUAGGCGGUCCGGUAAGUCGGCUGUGAAAGUCCAGGGCUCAACCCUGGGAUGCCGGUCGAUACUGCCGGGCUAGAGUCCGGAAGAGGCGAGUGGAACUCCUGGUGUAGCGGUGGAAUGCGCAGAUAUCAGGAAGAACACCAACGGCGAAGGCAGCUCGCUGGGACGGUACUGACGCUGAGACGCGAAAGCGUGGGGAGCGAACAGG
rnacentral:rRNA from 1 species